UCUCCUUAGGUGUUUUUGCACAAAAAGAUUUGAGCUUUUUAGAGGAACUUUCCAAGGAGAG
rnacentral:tRNA from 1 species